rnacentral:rRNA from 1 species
UACGUAGGGGGCAAGCGUUGUCCGGAAUCAUUGGGCGUAAAGCGCGUGUAGGCGGCCCGAUAAGUCCGCUGUGAAAGUCCAGGGCUCAACCCUGGGAUGCCGGUGGAUACUGUCGGGCUCGAGUCCGGAAGAGGCGAGUGGAAUUCCUGGUGUAGCGGUGAAAUGCGCAGAUAUCAGGAGGAACACCAAUGGCGAAGGCAGCUCGCUGGGACGUGACUGACGCUGAGACGCGAAGGCGUGGGGAGCAAACAGG